rnacentral:lncRNA from 12 species
AAAAAAAUUCACUCCAAGUAUGUUCUAGCAGAAAAAAAGAAGACUUAAGGCCAUACGGAGUGACACAAACAUUUUCAAUGGAGUGACAUAAAUAAUUUCAUGGACAAGUUAAUAUCGUCUCUGGAUAAACCAAUGAGGCACUCUGAAAUGAGAAGUUUUAGCAGGCUACCUUUCAGUUUGCUGCAAUUAAUUGAAGAGCCCAAGGAUUUACAUCUUUCUGGAUAAAUUCAGAGACAUCUAGAGCUAUCGGACAGACAGGCCCAGUGAAGAUGAAUGCAGAGGCUACAAGCAAGAGCAAGAAGGGAGACUAUUUUCAAAUGUGGUCAUUAAGUAUCCUAGCCAUUCGAGAGGCAAACUGAUUCCAUGUAGGUAGCUCUACUAAUGAAGAGGGUAAGUUUGGGAAAUGAGGGGAUAUUUGAAAAUAAAAUAAUAAAAUCUUUAAUAAAGGAGCUAGUU